rnacentral:lncRNA from 1 species
GUGGCUUGCGCACCACUGCGAGGCUGGGCCCCGGCGCUGGCGGGUGGGAGCAGCCCCGAGCCAGCUCCGGCUCCUCCUAGGCUCGGCCGAGCCCCAGGGGCGUGGCCUCCGCGAGCGUCUGCCUCCGCCCGCCGCGCUCGCGCAGGCGCACUGGGGUCCCAGUCCCGCGAGGUCCUUCGCUGGCGGGUGGGCGGGGAAGAGUGGGCUCUGCGGGCCGGAGCUAGACGAGCAUCCAGCGCACCCCUCGGACUCCCGGGAGGUGGCCCUGGGCGUCCCCUUUCUGCCACCGCCGCGACGCCGGCUGCUUUCUGCGUAGCUGGGCAGGCCCCGGGCCCCCACACCGCCUCUCCCGGGAAUGCGGGCGCUCUGGAGCCGAGGAGCGGGGGCGUCCGCAAGGAGGUCAGCUCUCCGGGGCGGAGUUCCUCGGGCGCAGCGCCCUCGCCUGGAAACCAGCCGUCGCCCCCGCAGGAGCCAGCCGGCCCGUGGACGCCCCAGAGCGCUCCUUCUCGGUGCUGCCGGUCGUCCUGCAGUUCCGCGAGGAAGGAAAGCGGAUUUGGAGGAACAGGUUUCGUGACUGUCAUCAGACUGGAAAAGGCCCCUCGAGCUGGAAGGGAGGGGACGGGGGCACCCUCAGAGUUACUGCUGGAGGCUGUGGCCAGGCCGGGCAAGGUGGUGACUCCCGCUGGCAAGCUGCAGCCCCCCCAACCCUCCCACCUGCGCCACGGGGCUCCAGGCGGGAACCCCAGUUAUGACCGGACACCAGCGCACCGCCAAGGAGACAGCCACGUGGGGACACGCCGGGCUAGCAGGCCUUUGCCAAGUGUCACUGCUCCGCAUAAGGGAAAAUCAGAGGAACAAGCAAGUGCAUCCAUCCUGCCUCUCUCCCCAGUGAACUGAUAAACCCAUCAGUCUUGUCCGUGGUGCACCUGUUACAUCCCCGGGCGAUGUUGGAGACUGUGGGGAACAGCGGCCACUGCCAAAUACUCAGCGACUGCCCUGUGCCUGGUGGGAUG